rnacentral:lncRNA from 1 species
UCAUCAAUUAAAGGACGCAAAUAAACAUCAAUAUCCUUUCCUGGUUCUUGAGGACCAGGAAUAAGCAAUGACAUUAUCAUAAAUGGGUCCUUAAAACAUUUCCAAGGAGGAAGAUUAUAAGGAACGAGAAUGACAGGCCACAUACUAUACGAUGUGCUCAUGUUACCGAAUGGGUUAAAGCCAUCAGUUGCAAGACCGAGUCUAAUAUUACGGGGUUCUUGUGAAAACCAGGGAUGAUUCUUGUCAAAUUCUUUCCAUUCUUCAGAAUCAGC